rnacentral:rRNA from 1 species
GAUGAACGCUGGCGGCGUGCCUAAUACAUGCAAGUCGAGCGAACAGACGAGGAGCUUGCUCCUCUGACGUUAGCGGCGGACGGGUGAGUAACACGUGGAUAACCUACCUAUAAGACUGGGAUAACUUCGGGAAACCGGAGCUAAUACCGGAUAAUAUAUUGAACCGCAUGGUUCAAUAGUUAAAUACGGUUUUUCUGUCACUUAUAGAUUGAUCCGCGCCGCAUUAGCUAGUUGGUAAGGUAACGGCUUACCAAGGCAACGAUGCGUAGACGGCCUGAGAGGGAGAUCGCCCACCUUGGAACUGAGACACGGCCCCGACUCCUACGGGAGGACGCAGUACGGACUCCUCCGCAAUGGGGGAAAGCCUGACGGAGCAACGCCGGGUGAGUCCUGAAGGUCUUCGGCCCGUAAAACUAUGUUAUUCGGGAAGAACAAAUGUGUAAGUACCUAUGCACGUAUUGACGGUACCUAAUCAGAAAGCCCCGGCUAACUCCGUG